AUGAUGCAAGCAUCUGUACUAAUUGGCCUACCACGCGAAGAAGAUAGUUUUAGAGAAUCUUCCAUCACAUAUGAAGGGGAGGCAGCUAAUACAGAAGAUGAAGCAAUGGAGAAAGCAGCUCAAGUGGCCUUAGAAUGUAUUUGUGCAGACUAUAAUAUUUCUGUCAAUGAUCACAAUUACUAUGCCCUUGAAGUCACAAAAGAAAGAUUGCUUACAACAAGAGAGAAAGCUCAAACAAAACAAUGGCAGUUCAACAUGGCGCGCCAGCAAGUAACUACGCAGCAGAAUGAAUUUGCAAGACAAACAAUGAUUCUGGCAAAGAUAUGCAAUAGCUUUUUUGAUAUACUGCCACUUCGUAUGUACCCCCAGCGUCCAGAAAGCAGUGAUCCCAUUAUUACAUACACGGGCGCACACCCUCCCGUCGGACGUAUGGAAGAACUUGCAAAAUCACUUUAUCACUUUAUCACAGGCACCAAUCCUGCAGGAGGCUACACCAGAAUGAUCUAA
rnacentral:rRNA from 1 species